CUUCCGGAGCUAACGCGUUAAGUAGACCGCCUGGGGAGUACGGCCGCAAGGUUAAAACUCAAAUGAAUUGACGGGGGCCCGCACAAGCGGUGGAGCAUGUGGUUUAAUUCGAUGCAACGCGAAGAACCUUACCUGGUCUUGACAUCCACAGAACUUUCCAGAGAUGGAUUGGUGCCUUCGGGAACUGUGAGACAGGUGCUGCAUGGCUGUCGUCAGCUCGUGUUGUGAAAUGUUGGGUUAAGUCCCGCAACGAGCGCAACCCUUAUCCUUUGUUGCCAGCGAUUAGGUCGGGAACUCAAAGGAGACUGCCAGUGAUAAACUGGAGGAAGGUGGGGAUGACGUCAAGUCAUCAUGGCCCUUACGACCAGGGCUACACACGUGCUACAAUGGCGCAUACAAAGAGAAGCGACCUCGCGAGAGCAAGCGGACCUCAUAAAGUGCGUCGUAGUCCGGAUUGGAGUCUGCAACUCGACUCCAUGAAGUCGGAAUCGCUAGUAAUCGUGGAUCAGAAUGCCACGGUGAAUACGUUCCCGGGCCUUGUACACACCGCCCGUCACACCAUGGGAGUGGGUUGCAAAAGAAGUAGGUAGCUUAACCUUCGGGAGGGCGCUUACCACUUUGUGAUUCAUGACUGGGGUGAAGUCGUAACAAGGUAACCGUAGGGGAACCUGCGGUUGGAUCACCUCCUUACCUUAAAGAAGC
rnacentral:rRNA from 3 species